rnacentral:rRNA from 1 species
UACGAAGGGGGCUAGCGUUGCUCGGAAUCACUGGGCGUAAAGGGUGCGUAGGCGGGGCUUUAAGUCAGGGGUGAAAUCCUGGAGCUCAACUCCAGAACUGCCUUUGAUACUGAAGAUCUUGAGUUCGGGAGAGGUGAGUGGAACUGCGAGUGUAGAGGUGAAAUUCGUAGAUAUUAGGAAGAACACCGGUGGCGAAGGCGGCCCACUGGUCCGGUACUGACGCUGAGGUGCGAAAGCGUGGGGAGCAAACAGG